rnacentral:rRNA from 1 species
GACGGAGGAUGCAAGCGUUAUCCGGAAUGAUUGGGCGUAAAGCGUCCGCAGGUGGCAGUUCAAGUCUGCUGUCAAAGACCGGGGCUUAACUUCGGAAAGGCAGUGGAAAUUGAACAGCUAGAGUAUGGUAGGGGCAGAGGGAAUUCCUGGUGUAGCGGUGAAAUGCGUAGAGAUCAGGAAGAACAUCGGUGGCGAAGGCGCUCUGCUGGACCAUAACUGACACUCAGGGACGAAAGCUAGGGGAGCGAAUGGG